CUACGGGGUGCACCAGUGGGGAAUAUUGCACAAUGGGGGAAACCCUGAUGCAGCGACGCCGCGUGAAGGAUGAAGGAUUUCGGUUCGUAAACUUCUAUCAGCAGGGAAGAUAGUGACUGUACCUGACUAAGAAGCCCCGGCUAACUACGUGCCAGCAGCCGCGGUAAUACGUAGGGGGCAAGCGUUAUCCGGAAUUACUGGGUGUAAAGGGUGCGUAGGCGGUUAAAUAAGUCAGAUGUGAAAGCCCGGGGCUCAACUCCGGGACUGCAUUUGAAACUGUUUAACUAGAAUACAGGAGAGGUAAGUGGAAUUCCUAGUGUAGCGGUGAAAUGCGUAGAUAUUAGGAGGAACACCAGUGGCGAAGGCGACUUACUGGACUGUUAUUGACGCUGAGGCACGAAAGCGUGGGGAGCGAACAGGAUUAGAUACCCUAGUAGUC
rnacentral:rRNA from 1 species